rnacentral:rRNA from 1 species
AUUGAACGCUGGCGGCAGGCUUAACACAUGCAAGUCGAGCGAGCGGCGGACGGGUGAGUAAUGUCUGGGAAACUGCCUGAUGGCGGGGGAUAACUACUGGAAACGGUAGCUAAUACCGCAUACCAUCAGAUGUGCCCAUAUGGGAUUAGCUAGUAGGUGGGGUAAUGGCUCACCUAGGCGACGAUCCCUAGCUGGUUUGAGAGGAUGACCAGCCACACUGGGACUGAGACACGGCCCAGACUCCUACGGGAGGCAGCAGUGGGGAAUAUUGGACAAUGGGCGAAAGCCUGAUGCAGCCAUGCCGCGUGUGUGAUGAAGGCCUUCGGGUUGUAAAGUACUUUCGGCAGGGAAGCGGUACUCGCAGAAGAAGCACCGGCUAACUACGUGCCAGCAGCCGCGGUAAUAC